UGCUGCCCUAUUGGAGUAAGCUGCUCUUAGUGGCUGAGUCUCCCAAAGGCAACUGUCAAAGGCAGAAAGCACAAUUCUGAAAGUUUCAGGGAUGAGGCGGGCCAGGAUGAAGCAGCUAGGUAAUCGAGGGUUAGUGAUGACAGCAGUAAACUGUGACAAUGGUUGAGCACCUAGCUACUGCAUAGGUUCAAGUCCCAGCUUUGCCAUUUACUAACCAUAAGAUUGGGUGACUUUGUAGUUUCUCUUUGUUUCCUCAUCUGUAAAAGGGAGGUAAUAAUUGUACCUGCUCUAUAGAAUUAAUGUAAGAAUUAAAUGAGUUCAUACGUGGAACAAUGU
rnacentral:lncRNA from 1 species